CAGUUCGGAUUGCAGGCUGCAACCCGCCUGUAUGAAGUUGGAAUCGCUAGUAAUCGCGGAUCAGCAUGCCGCGGUGAAUACGUUCCCGGGCCUUGUACACACCGCCCGUCACACCAUGAGAGUCGGGAACACCCGAAGUCCGUAGUCUAACUUUCACGAGAGGACGCGGCCGAAGGUGGGUUCGAUAAUUGGGGUGAAGUCGUAACAAGGUAUC
rnacentral:rRNA from 1 species